UGGGGAAUUUUGGACAAUGGGCGAAAGCCUGAUCCAGCAAUGCCGCGUGUGUGAAGAAGGCCUUCGGGUUGUAAAGCACUUUUGUCCGGAAAGAAAUCCUUGGCUCUAAUACAGUCGGGGGAUGACGGUACCGGAAGAAUAAGCACCGGCUAACUACGUGCCAGCAGCCGCGGUAAUACGUAGGGUGCAAGCGUUAAUCGGAAUUACUGGGCGUAAAGCGUGCGCAGGCGGUUUGCUAAGACCGAUGUGAAAUCCCCGGGCGUCAACCUGGGAACUGCAUUGGUGACUGGCAGGCUAGAGUAUGGCAGAGGGGGGUAGAAUUCCACGUGUAGCAGUGAAAUGCGUAGAGAUGUGGAGGAAUACCGAUGGCGAAGGCAGCCCCCUGGCAAGUACUGACGCUCAUGCACGAAAGCGUGGGGGAGCAAACAGGAUUAGAUACCCCUGGUAGUCCACGCCCCUAAANGAUGUCAACUAGUUGUUGGGGGAUUCAUUUUCCUUAGUAACGUAGCUAACGCGUGAAGUUGACCGCCUGGGGAGUACGGUCGCAAGAUUAAAACUUAAAU
rnacentral:rRNA from 1 species